ACCAUUUUCAUCUAAAGACUAUGACUAAGACUAAAUCAAAAACGGCUGCCAAAAUUAACACUGCUCUGACGUGUUUUUACUCUCUGGAUUUCUGAGGGUGUGAAGGCGUCCUCAGAUCAGAUGCAGGCAGACUCAGGACUGAAGAAGAAGAGAUGAGCAGAGUUUCCUCCUCACCUGAAGAGAGUCUGUGGGGGCUCUGCUAUGGAUCAGUGUGAGGACAGAGAGGAGGAAGCCCCCCCCUCUAAAAGCUCUGGGGAACAUGACAGCCAGACCAAAGCUCAGAGGGGAAUUCAUCCACAGAAAACAUACUGGACGCUGUACUAGGUGAGAAACCAGAGGAGACUGUGAAGUCCACCACAGACGGACCACUUUGGACAAAAUGUCCUCUCCAUUAAAGG